GUGCUAGGAACCAAACCUAGGUACUCUUCAAGAGCAACUGGUGCUCUCAACCACUGAGCAAUCUCUUCAGUCUCCUAGUGAAAAGUCUAAAGAGCAAAAUACAAUGUAACCCUGAGAGUAACUUAGCAUGUAACCAGAUCAGGAGAGUAACAACUGAUCACUUGUAACAUACUCUCUUGGUUACAAGCAUAUCAUGAGCUGUAUUCAGACUGAAGCACAGACCCAUUCGGUAUGGCCCACUGAGGCCACUUUGCAAUGUGCUGUUCAUACCCACCGAGGGUACAGAGUUCCAGUACACUCAAGAGUUCCAGUGAAGCUGCCAUGCACUGCAUAGAUGAAGCUCAAUCCAGUGAUGCUGUAGUGCACUGCACAGAUGAAGCUCAAUCCAGUGAUGCUGCAGUGCACUGCACAGAUGAAGCUAUUUGAGGACAUGUAUAUCAAGGAACAUCAUUUUCCUUCUCAGCUUUCAGCCCCGAUCAGGGAGCACCACCCCCAGAUGUGCUUUGCAUCUGUGUAGGAAUGCCAUUUUCAGUGGUUUGAAUAUGCUUGGCCCAGGAAGUGGCAUUAUUUGGAGAUGUGGCAUAGAUGUUGGCGUAUGUGUCUCACUGAAGUUGUGGACUUUGAGACCCUUCUCCUAUUGCCCAUGAGACAGUCUUCUGUUUGCCUUCAGAUCAAGAUGUAGAACUCUCAGCUCCUCCUGGGCCAUUCUGGCCUGGACACUGCCAUGCUCCCUCCUUGAUGAUACUUGACUGAAACUCUGAACCUGUAAGCCUGCCCCGAUUAAAUGUUGUACUUAUAA
rnacentral:lncRNA from 1 species